UGUCUGGUGGCGAUAGCGAAGAGGUCACACCCGUUCCCAUACCGAACACGGAAGUUAAGCUCUUUAGCGCCAAUGGUAGUUGGGACUUUGUCCCUGUGAGAGUAGGACGUUGCCAGGC
rnacentral:rRNA from 1 species